GAUGUUUUAAGUUGUAUGACUAAUAAUAUAAUCAACCGAGUGACAAUAGGAAGGACAUACAAUGAAGGGGAAAGUGGAAGAGCUGUUAAGGCUCUAUUAGAAGAUCUUCUUGCACUUUUAGGUACUUUUAACAUUGGGGAGUAUAUUCCAUGGCUUAAAUGGCUCAAUAAAAUCAAUGGUCUUGACAACAGAGUGAAGAAAGUAGCUAAAGAUUUGGAUGCAUUUUUAGACAGCGUGAUUGAAGAACGCGUGGUUAGAAACAAAAAAGCAGAAAACAGUACGGGUGAGGCUAAAGAUUUCGUGGAUGUUUUGCUGGAAAUUCAGAAUGGAAACGAAACUGGCUUUCCGCUUCAAAGGGAUUCAUUGAAAGCUAUUCUCUUGGACUCGUUUAUUGCUGGUGUGGAUUCAAUAUAUACAACUUUAGAGUGGAUAAUGAUAGAGCUUUUGAGGAAUCCAAGAGCCAUGGAGAAAUUACAGAAUGAAGUGCGAGGAUUAGUCCAAGGGAAAGCAGAGAUAACAGAGGACGACUUAGGAAAUAUGUUGUAUCUCAAAGCAGUAAUCAAAGAGAGUCUCAGGCUUAAUCCACCGUUUCCAAUACCAGUUCCUCGAGAAUCAAUGGAAGACGUAAAAUUACUAGACUAUAACAUACCUGCUAAAACUCAAGUCCUUGUUAAUAUUUGGGCAAUCGGAAGAGACCCAUUAUCAUGGGAUGAACCAGAGGAGUACCGGCCUGAAAGAUUCUUGAAUAGUGAUAUUGAUUUCAGAGGACUAAACUUUGAGUUGAUUCCGUUCGGAGCUGGCAGGAGGGGUUGCCCAGGAAUUCCUUUUGCUAUUGUGAUAAUUGAGCUAACAUUAGCAAGGCUUGUGAACAAAUUUAAUUUUGCAUUACCACAAGGAAUAAAAAAAGAGGAUUUGGAUAUGAGUGAAUGCACUGGCAUCUCCAUUCGCAGGAAAUUGCCUUUACUAGCAGUGGCAACUCCGUGCAGUGUUUAGUUUUUUUCCUACAAUUUCUUAUAAUGACAUAAAAUAUAAAUAAGUAUAUAUGUAAUAAGUAGUAAACUACUUUUAGUUAGUAUUUUGAAACCCAUUGAAAAGGGCAGUGCGAGAGAAUUUCAGAAUUCAC
rnacentral:misc_RNA from 1 species